CAUGCCUUGAGUGUAGGACCG
rnacentral:ncRNA from 3 species